AGAGUUUGAUCCUGGCUCAGGACGAACGCUGGCGGCGUGCUUAACACAUGCAAGUCGAGCGGUAAGGCCCUUUCGGGGGUACACGAGCGGCGAACGGGUGAGUAACACGUGAGUAAUCUGCCCUCCACUUUGGGAUAAGCCUCGGAAACGAGGUCUAAUACCGGAUACGACCGCUUCCUGCAUGGGAUGGUGGUGGAAAGUUUUUUCGGUGGGGGAUGUGCUCGCGGCCUAUCAGCUUGUUGGUGAGGUAAUGGCUCACCAAGGCUUCGACGGGUAGCCGGCCUGAGAGGGUGACCGGCCACACUGGGACUGAGACACGGCCCAGACUCCUACGGGAGGCAGCAGUGGGGAAUAUUGGACAAUGGGCGGAAGCCUGAUCCAGCAACGCCGCGUGAGGGAUGACUGCCUUCGGGUUGUAAACCUCUUUCAGUGGGGACGAAGCGCAAGUGACGGUACCCGCAGAAGAAGCACCGGCCAACUACGUG
rnacentral:rRNA from 1 species